UUUGCGACCUAUAUCCAGGCCACG
rnacentral:miRNA from 1 species